GAAGGAGGUCAAAUGGCGAGA
rnacentral:siRNA from 1 species